rnacentral:rRNA from 1 species
CUACGGGUGGCUCCAGUGGGGAAUCUUAGACAAUGGGGGCAACCCUGAUCUAGCCAUGCCGCGUGAGUGAUGAAGGCCUUAGGGUUGUAAAGCUCUUUCAGCUGGGAAGAUAAUGACGGUACCAGCAGAAGAAGCCCCGGCUAACUCCGUGCCAGCAGCCGCGGUAAUACGGAGGGGGCUAGCGUUGUUCGGAAUUACUGGGCGUAAAGCGCACGUAGGCGGAUAGGAAAGUUGGGGGUGAAAUCCCGGGGCUCAACCCCGGAACUGCCUCCAAAACUAGCGGUCUUGAGUUCGGGAGAGGUGAGUGGAAUUCCGAGUGUAGAGGUGAAAUUCGUAGAUAUUCGGAGGAACACCAGUGGCGAAGGCGGCUCACUGGCUCGAUACUGACGCUGAGGUGCGAAAGCGUGGGGAGCAAACAGGAUUAGAUACCCCUGUAGUC